rfam:Bacillus shackletonii strain LMG 18435 super11, whole genome shotgun sequence.
GAGGAAAAGAAGGAGCACCCGCUUCUCGCCUGAUUGACGCUUAUAUUGCAGUUGGCAGGUUUCGAAAUUCAUCACAUUCAAAAACUAUUCAUACGUGAAUGUAAGUGCGGGUCGUCUUUCCCGCACUUUUUAUUUUGU